UUAACAGACCAUUAAGUUCCAGAUAAGUUAACAGAAAAAUAUCGAUAUGAAGUUUUCGAUUUGAAUAAUUUGGAUGACAAAAGGUAACGGCAAUUAAGGAUAUAAAUGCGAUUUAAUAAUUUAAUAAGUAUAUAAGCUUAAACUGACUGUAAAUAAGUAACUACAAUUCAGAACUGUUUAACUUGACAUAUUGACCCAUAUAACCAUAUGACCCAUAUAUAUAACUACAAUUCAGAACUGUUUAACUUGACAUAUUGACCCAUAUAUGUAGCAACGUGCACCUUGGAAACCAAGAAAACAAUGAAAUCAGGUUAAAUAUAACAGUAGUAUUGUUCUGUAGGAUUUCGAAAACGAGAAAUAUGUUUUUGGAUACUCCACAAAAGCCACCACGAACCUUGCGAUAUGUGGAAAUAGCAUUCGACCAGAUUAAAUCAAAACAAAAUGUACGAGAUGUAGUAAUCCUCAACGAUUCGGGGCAUCCGGUGAUGAGUACGAUGGUCCGAGACGAUGCUGUGCAAUUUUCAGGACCUUUUCAGGCUAUCCGAGGAAGACUGGAACGUGGGAUGAGUAAAAUAGAUCCCACGGACGAACUGCUAAUGCUGAGAGUACGCACCAGAACUAAUGAGGUGCUCCUAGUGCCGGACUCCAAGAUAACAAUACUCGUAGUACAGAAUGCGCACGAUUAUUUCAAGAAAUGAUUUAUCAUUUAACAUUCGGAUUUCCAACGACAAGGCUUAUAUUUCUUUAUUAUUCAUUGUUCACCUAUGCAUAAAAAUAAUAUUUUACGAUAUUUUACGAUGGAAUAUAAAAAGAUUAUAGCAAGGAACGUAUCCACUCCGUGCGUCCCAUAACAUUUGUAAAAACGAGUAUGCUGGACUCUAAUAACUACGUGCCAGGAAUACGAGACCAAAGCAACGACUACCAAGUACCAAGGUAUCGACAAGAAUACUUAGCAUUUAUCCACGGGUCUAUGGCUGACGUAAUGAAUUUCAGGAAUAUUUGGAAAUUAUAUUUGGAAUUAAUAUUUGGAACAACACUUAAUUUAUAAUUGUAUUAUUAAUCAACUUCUCGAUUUGAAUAAGCAUUUAAAAAACUACAAAUAAUUAUAUUACAUGACUAACUAAUAUGACUUACAAACUUAUCGUUUGUUGAACAACGAUUCAUACAAUUGUUUUUUAUGAAUAACAUAAAUUCUUUGAACAGAAUAGUGUUUCCAGAGACUUAAAUAUUUAAAAUGUAUGGUGUUUAUAAUACAAGUAAUCGCCGUGAGUCAAGUGACGGGAAACUAUAUUCUUGCUAUAAAUUUUUUUAAAUAAUUGAA